rnacentral:rRNA from 1 species
GUGGGGAAUAUUGGACAAUGGGCGCAAGCCUGAUCCAGCAAUGCCGCGUGUGUGAAGAAGGCCUGCGGGUUGUAAAGCACUUUUAGCAGGAAAGAAGGGUGGAUCGCUAAUACCGGUCUGCAUUGACGUUACCUGCAGAAAAAGCACCGGCUAACUCCGUGCCAGCAGCCGCGGUAAUACGGAGGGUGCAAGCGUUAAUCGGAAUUAUUGGGCGUAAAGCGUGCGUAGGCGGUUUGAUAAGUCAGAUGUGAAAGCCCUGGGCUUAACCUGGGAACGGCAUUUGAUACUGUCAGACUAGAGUGUGGAAGAGGGGAGUGGAAUUUCCGGUGUAGCAGUGAAAUGCGUAGAGAUCGGAAGGAACACCAGUGGCGAAGGCGGCUCUCUGGUCCAACACUGACGCUGAGGUACGAAAGCGUGGGGAGCAAACAGGAUUAGAAACCCUUGUAGUCC